GGGUUGUGAGGUUAAGCGACUAAGCGUACACGGUGGAUGCCCUGGCAGUCAGAGGCGAUGAAGGACGUGCUAAUCUGCGAUAAGCGUCGGUAAGGUGAUAUGAACCGUUAUAACCGGCGAUUUCCGAAUGGGGAAACCCAGUGUGUUUCGACACACUAUUAUUAACUGAAUCCAUAGGUUAAUGAGGCGAACCGGGGGAACUGAAACAUCUAAGUACCCCGAGGAAAAGAAAUCAACCGAGAUUCCCCCAGUAGCGGCGAGCGAACGGGGAGCAGCCCAGAGCCUGAAUCAGUGUGUGUGUUAGUGGAAGCGUCUGGAAAGGCGCGCGAUACAGGGUGACAGCCCCGUACACAAAAAUACACAUACUGUGAGCUCGAUGAGUAGGGCGGGACACGUGGUAUCCUGUCUGAAUAUGGGGGGACCAUCCUCCAAGGCUAAAUACUCCUGACUGACCGAUAGUGAACCAGUACCGUGAGGGAAAGGCGAAAAGAACCCCGGCGAGGGGAGUGAAAAAGAACCUGAAACCGUGUACGUACAAGCAGUGGGAGCACGCUUAGG
rnacentral:rRNA from 1 species